GUUGGAUUUGUGGUGUGUCCAGUUGGCCUUUGCUCUUUGAGUGAUAGUGCUUUACUGGUCUGCCAUGUUUGGGUGGAAUCUGUGUGGCAUUAAGUUGUCGUGCAGGGGAUGCCCAUCGUUUACUGUGAAAAAAUUAGAGUGUUCAAAGCAGGCUUAUGCCUCUGAAUAUAUUAGCAUGGAAUAAUGAUAUAGGACCUUGGUACUAUUUUGUUGGUUUGCGCACUGAGGUAAUGAUUAAGAGGGACAGUUGGGGGUAUUUGUAUUCCAUUGUCAGAGGUGAAAUUCUUGGAUUUUUGGAAGACAAACUACUGCGAAAGCAUUUACCAAGGAUGUUUUCAUUAAUCAAGAACGAAAGUUAGGGGAUCGAAGAUGAUUAGAUACCAUCGUAGUCUUAACCAUAAACUAUGCCGACAAGGGAUUGGUGGAGUUUCGUUUCGUCUCCAUCAGCACCUUGUGAGAAAUCAUAAGUCUUUGGGUUCCGGGGGGAGUAUGGU
rnacentral:rRNA from 1 species